UACAGAGGUCUCAAGCGUUAUUCGGAUUUACUGGGCUUAAAGAGUUCGUAGGCGGCGCAGAAAGUAGGGUGUGAAAGCCCUCGGCUCAACCGAGGAAUUGCGCCCUAAACUACUGUGCUUGAGGGACCUAGAGGUGAGCAGAACUGAUGGUGGAGCGGUGAAAUGCGUUGAUAUCAUCAGGAAUACCGGAGGCGAAGGCGGCUCACUGGGGGUCUUCUGACGCUGAGGAACGAAAGCCAGGGGAGCGAACGGG
rnacentral:rRNA from 1 species